UACGUAGGGGGCAAGCGUUGUCCGGAAUCAUUGGGCGUAAAGAGCGUGUAGGCGGCUCGGUAAGUCCGCUGUGAAAGUCCAGGGCUCAACCCUGGAAUGCCGGUGGAAACUGUCGAGCUAGAGUCCGGAAGAGGCGAGUGGAAUUCCUGGUGUAGCGGUGAAAUGCGCAGAUAUCAGGAGGAACACCAAUGGCGAAGGCAGCUCGCUGGGACGGUACUGACGCUGAGACGCGAAAGCGUGGGGGAGCAAACAGG
rnacentral:rRNA from 1 species